rnacentral:rRNA from 1 species
AAGAGAGAAUGCCGGAAUGAGUAGCGAGAGAAAGGUGGGAAUCCUUUCGACCGAAUAUCUAAGGUUUCCAGAGUAAAGCUGAUCUGCUCUGGGUAAGUCGGGGCCUAAGCACAGGUCGCAAGACGUAAGCGAUGGAUAACAGGUUUAGAUUCCUGUACCACGCAUUAUCAGAACUGUAGGGACGCAUGUGGAAAGCACGGGCCGGGAAUGGAAAGACCGGUACAAGCGGGGUAGGUGUACAAUAGGCAAAUCCGUUGUAUAAUCCGAAGACGUGAUGUGGAGCGAAAUAAAGUAGCAAAGCGUGUGAGCCAUGUGCCGAGAAAAGCUGCUAUUGUGUAAUGCGUGCCCGUACCGUAAACCGACACAGGUGGAUGAGGAGAGAAUCCUAAGGCCGACGGAAGAAGCAUUGUUAAGGAAUUCGGCAAAAUGACCCCGUAACUUCGGGAGAAGGGGUGCCUGCGAGAGCAGGCCGCAGAGAAUAGGCUCAAGCAACUGUUUAGCAAAAACACAGGUCUAUGCGAAACCGAAAGGUGAAGUAUAUGGGCUGACGCCUGCCCGGUGCUGGAAGGUUAAGAGGAGAGGUUAGCGUAAGCGAAGCUUUGAAUUUAAGCCCCAGUGAACGGCGGCCGUAACUAUAACGGUCCUAAGGUAGCGAAAUUCCUUGUCGGGUAAGUUCCGACCCGCACGAAGGCGUAAUGAUUUGAGCACUGUCUCGACAAUGCAUCCGGUGAAAUUGAAGUACCAGUGAAGAUGCUGGUUACCCGCGCCAGGACGGAAAGACCCCAUGGAGCUUUACUCCAGUUUGAUACUGGGAUUCGGUACUGCAUGUACAGGAUAGGUGGGAGACGAAGAAGGAUGGACGCCAGUCUGUCCGGAGUCGCUGUUGGGAUACCACCCCUGUAGUACUGGGUUUCUAACCAGUUGCCAUGAACUGGCAAUGGGACAAUGUCAGGCGGGGAGUUUGACUGGGGCGGUCGCCUCCGAAAGGGUAUCGGAGGCGCUCAAAGGUUCCCUCAGAAUGGUUGGAAACCAUUUGAAGAGUGCAAAGGCAGAAGGGAGCUUGACUGCGACACCGACGGGUGGAGCAGGUACGAAAGUAGGACUUAGUGAUCCGGUGGUAUAAAGUGGGAUUGCCAUCGCUCAACGGAUAAAAGCUACCCUGGGAUAACAGGCUUAUCACUCCCAAGAGUUCACAUCGACGGAGUGGUUUGGCACCUCGAUGUCGGCUCAUCGCAUCCUGGGGCUGUAGCAGGUCCCAAGGGUUGGGCUGUUCGCCCAUUAAAGCGGUACGCGAGCUGGGUUCAGAACGUCGUGAGACAGUUCGGUCCCUAUCCGGCGCGGGCGGAGGAUAUUUGAGAGGAGCUGUCCUUAGUACGAGAGGACCGGGAUGGACGGACCACUGGUGUAUCUGUUGUCGACCAACGGCAUGGCAGAGUAGCCAAGUCUGGAAGGGAUAAACGCUGAAGGCAUCUAAGCGUGAAGCCCCCCUCAAGAUGAGAUAUCCCUCCUUCGGGAGUAAGACCCCUUGAAGACUACAAGGUAGAUAGGGCAGAGGUGGAAGCAUGGCAACAUGUGGAGCUGACUGUUACUAAUAGGUCGAGGGCUUAACAA